CGGACGGGUGAGUAACACGUGGAUAACCUACCUAUAAGACUGGGAUAACUUCGGGAAACCGGAGCUAAUACCGGAUGAUAUUUUGAACCGCAUGGUUCAAAAGUGAAAGACGGUCUUGCUGUCACUUAUAGAUGGAUCCGCGCUGCAUUAGUUAGUUGGUAAGGUAACGGCUUACCAAGGCAACGAUGCAUAGCCGACCUGAGAGGGUGAUCGGCCACACUGGAACUGAGACACGGUCCAG
rnacentral:rRNA from 1 species